GACGAACGCUGGCGGCGUGCUUAACACAUGCAAGUCGAACGGAAAGGCCCUUCGGGGUACUCGAGUGGCGAACGGGUGAGUAACACGUGGGUGAUCUGCCCUGCACUUUGGGAUAAGCCUGGGAAACUGGGUCUAAUACCGAAUAUGAUCAUCGGCUUCAUGGUCGGUGGUGGAAAGCUUUUGCGGUGUGGGAUGGGCCCGCGGCCUAUCAGCUUGUUGGUGGGGUAAUGGCCUACCAAGGCGACGACGGGUAGCCGGCCUGAGAGGGUGACCGGCCACACUGGGACUGAGAUACGGCCCAGACUCCUACGGGAGGCAGCAGUGGGGAAUAUUGCACAAUGGGCGCAAGCCUGAUGCAGCGACGCCGCGUGAGGGAUGACGGCCUUCGGGUUGUAAACCUCUUUCAGCACAGACGAAGCGCAAGUGACGGUAUGUGCGGAAGAAGGACCGGCCAACUACGUG
rnacentral:rRNA from 1 species